rnacentral:rRNA from 1 species
AGCAGUCGCCGCGGUAAUACGAAGGGGGCUAGCGUUGUUCGGAAUCACUGGGCGUAAAGGGUGCGUAGGCGGGCAAUUAAGUCAGGGGUGAAAUCCCGAGGCUCAACCUCGGAACUGCCCUUGAUACUGGUUGUCUUGAGUCCGGAAGAGGUGAGUGGAACUGCGAGUGUAGAGGUGAAAUUCGUAGAUAUUCGCAAGAACACCGGUGGCGAAGGCGGCUCACUGGUCCGGAACUGACGCUGAGGCACGACAGCGUGGGGAGCAAACAGGAUUAGAUACCCCGGUAGUCCCUGUCUCUUAUAC